GACGAACGCUGGCGGCGUGCUUAACACAUGCAAGUCGAACGGAAAGGCCCUGCUUGCUGGGUACUCGAGUGGCGAACGGGUGAGUAACACCUGGGUGAUCUGCCCUGCACUUCGGGAUAAGCCUGGGAAAAUGGGUCUAAUACCGGAAAGGAGCCAUUUUUAGCGUGGUGGUUGGUAAGUUUUUUCGGUGUAGGAUGAGCGCGCGGCCUAUCAGCUUGUUGGUGGGGUAAUGGCCUACCAAGGCGGCGACGGGUAGCCGGCCUGAGAGGGUGGACGGCCACAUUGGGACUGAGAUACGGACCAGACUCCUACGGGAGGCAGCAGGGGGGAAUAUUGCACAAUGGGCGGAAGCCUGAUGCAGCGACGCCGCGUGGGGGAUGACGGCCUUCGGGUUGUAAACUCCUUUCGCCAGGGACGAAGCUUUUGUGACGGUACCUAGAUAAGAAGCACCGGCUAACUACGUG
rnacentral:rRNA from 1 species